GUCAGUCAGUCAUUAUAGAGACAGGAUGGAUCUCAGUCCUCUCCCUGUGAUGUUCUUGUUGGUUUCACUUGUACCAGAGGCCCAUACUCAAGGGUGGCCUAAAGCUGUGGUGUCCAUAAAGCCUGAUACACACGUGUUCAUUGGAGAGACUGUUACUCUCAGAUGUGACAUACAGGGAGGAGGAGACACUCGCCGGUCAUACAGAUGGAAUAUGAAUAACUGGUUCUA